rnacentral:rRNA from 1 species
AUGCACGCUGGCGGCGUGCCUCAUCCAUGCAAGUCGCGCGAACGGACGAGAAGCUUGCUUCUCUGAUGUUAGCGGCGGACGGGUGAGUAACACGUGGAUAACCCACCUAUAAGACUGGGAUAACUUCGGGAAACCGGAGCUAAUACCGGAUGAUAUUUUGAACCGCAUGGUUCAAAAGUGAAAGACGGUCUUGCUGUCACUUAUAGAUGGAUCCGCGCUGCAUUAGCUAGUUGGUAAGGUAACGGCUUACCAAGGCAACGAUGCAUAGCCGACCUGAGAGGGUGAUCGGCCACACUGGAACUGAGACACGGUCCAGACUCCUACGGGAGGCAGCAGUAGGGAAUCUUCCGCAAUGGGCGAAAGCCUGACGGAGCAACGCCGCGUGAGUGAUGAAGGUCUUCGGAUCGUAAAACUCUGUUAUUAGGGAAGAACAUAUGUGUAAGUAACUGUGCACAUCUUGACGGUACCUAAUCAGAAAGCCACGGCUAACUACGUG